rnacentral:rRNA from 1 species
AGAGUUUGAUCCUGGCUCAGGAUGAACGCUAGCGGCAGGCUUAACACAUGCAAGUCGAGGGGCAGCGCGAUGUAGCAAUACAUUGGCGGCGACCGGCGCACGGGUGCGUAACACGUAUGAAAUCUGCCCUGUACUGGGAGAUAACCCGGAGAAAUCCGGACUAAUAUCCCAUAAUAAACGAGAUGGCAUCAUCUUGUUUUGAAAGCUCCGGCGGUACAGGAUGAUCAUGCGCACGAUUAGCUAGUUGGUGAGGUAAUGGCUCACCAAGGCUACGAUCGUUAGGGGGCCUGAGAGGGUUAUCCCCCACACUGGUACUGAGACACGGACCAGACUCCUACGGGAGGCAGCAGUGAGGAAUAUUGCGCAAUGGAGGCAACUCUGACGCAGCCAUGCCGCGUGCAGGAAGAAGGCGCUACGCGUUGUAAACUGCUUUUAACCGGGAAGAAACCCCAGGACGUGUCCUGGGUUGACGGUACCGGAGGAAUAAGCACCGGCUAACUUCGUGCCAGCAGCCGCGGUAAUA